rnacentral:rRNA from 1 species
UAACACAUGCAAGUCGAACGAUGAAGCCCAGCUUGAUGGGUGGAUUAGUGGCGAACGGGUGAGUAACACGUGAGUAACCUGCCCUUGACUCUGGGCUAAGCGCUGGAAACGGCGUCUAAUACCGGAUACGACCUGCCCCGGCAUCGGGUGCGGGUGGAAAGUUUUUCGGUCAAGGAUGGACUCGCGGCCUAUCAGCUUGUUGGUGAGGUAAUGGCUCACCAAGGCGACGACGGGUAGCCGGCCUGAGAGGGUGACCGGCCACACUGGGACUGAGACACGGCCCAGACUCCUACGGGAGGCAGCAGUGGGGAAUAUUGCACAAUGGGCGAAAGCCUGAUGCAGCAACGCCGCGUGAGGGAUGACGGCCUUCGGGUUGUAAACCUCUUUU